rnacentral:rRNA from 1 species
GGAAAAGUGGACCUGCGAGAACAGAAUAUCGUUGACAUUGAAGAACUUGUGGAGCUUUGUACCCGUAUGGAAGAGGCUUGCGCAGGAUUCACAAGGUUCGAUUUCUGUCAGAUCUUGGAUGCUACAGAAAAUUUCUCAGAGAAGAUGAUAGUUGGGUGGGGAGGAUUUGGGAAGGUGUACAAGGGCCAGUUGCCUGGUGGACUUAAUGUUGCCAUCAAAAGAGCUGAUGAGCACGCAGCAAUGCUUGAAGUCAACAGUGAAUUGCAGCUUGCAAAGCUUCAGCAUGCCAAUGUGAUUAGGUUAUUGGGGUGGUGCAUCCAUGGGAAAGAAAGGAUUCUAGUGUAUGACUUCAUGCAAAAUGGUUCCUUGGAUCGUUACAUAUAUGACAGAACAAAAGGGCCAAUGCUAAACUGGUCUAAGCGAUUCAAGAUAAUUACAGGGUUAACAGAGGGAAUUGUUUACCUGCAUAAGCACUCCAUGUUCUGGCUUGUCCACAGAGACUUGAAACCACAUAAUGUCCUCUUGGAUUGUAACAUGAUCCCAAAGAUUGCUGAUUUUGGUUCAGCUAGAGCACUGAGUUCAGACAUAGCAGAAGAGCACACGAGUAGGGUCGUGGGAACUAGUGGUUACAAAGCCCCAGAGUAUGCAUCUCGAGGAGCUUACUCGCUGAAGACAGAUGUGUUCAGCUUUGGCGUCUUGGUUUUGGUGAUUAUUAGUGGCCGAAAGAAUACCAUACUCGACAAGCAAGGGGAUACUGUUGGUGAUCUUGUACGAGAUGCCUGGCAUAUGUGGAAGGACCAAAGGUUGCAUGAGCUUGUGGAUCCGUUGUUAGGGGAUGGAUAUGAAGUCGCCGAGAUAAUAAGAUGUGCUCAGGUGGCGCUGCUUUGUGCUCAGGAAGAUCCCGCAGACCGGCCCGCCAUGACAGAUGUUGCUGCAAUGCUGAACUCUGAAAGCAUAAGCUCACCGAUGGAGCCUAAGCAGCCCGCCGCGCUGAUCCAUGGGUGUGCUGAGAGAGACACGACAUCGACAUACGUGGGCCAAUCAAGCAGGACAAUAGACAUAACCAUAACGAGUUCAGCUCCAAUGUCGACCAGAGUUCGAAUCAUUCUAGACCCAGAGGUUUGA